rnacentral:rRNA from 1 species
CUGCAGCCCAAGUGGUGAUCGAUAUUAUUGAGCCUAAAGCGUCCGUAGCCGGUUUGGUAAAUCUUCGAGUAAAUCGAGCAGCUUAACUGUUCGAAUUCCGGAGAGACUGCUAGACUUGGGACCGGGAGAGGUCAGAGGUACUCCAGGGGUAGGGGCUAAAUCCUGUAAUCCUUGGAGGACCACCAGUGGCGAAGGCGUCUGACUAGAACGGAUCCGACGGUAAGGGACGAAACCCUGGGGCGCAAACCGGAUUAGAUACCCGAGUAGUCC